rnacentral:lncRNA from 1 species
UGUAAUCCAUGGCGUCAACGAGUCAACGACCCCUCCUCAUCGCCCUCCUAACCCUCUCGAUCUUCGCAAUCUCAGCCACCGCAACAAGGCCCUGCAAGACCCUCUUCAUUUCCUCCUACUCAUUCUCCCUCCGUCGUCUCCCCUCCUCCUCUUCCUCCUCCGGCUUCGUCACCGUCGUCACCGAGAUCAGCCGACUCCGCCCCGUACGCUACGACGACCUUGUCCUCCAACCCCACGAAGAAGAUGAUAAGCGAACUCAGGCGGCGUCGCUCUUUCCCUUGAUCGGAACGUCGUCGGCCUCCUCCUCGUCCUACGACCUCAACUCUCUCCGCGAUCGCACCAGGGACAUCCUGAGCAUCGUCGUUUCCCUGCUCUUCGGCGUCGGCUGCGGCGCUCUCACCGCCGCUACCAUGUACUUGGCUUGGUCCGUCUUCUUCAGUCGCUACGACAAUGGCUCUGCGUCUUCCUUCGAUGACGAUUUCUAUGACGCCAGCCCUAAGAAGAUAGGUUAUGUAAAGAUUCCGGAGGUGGCCGCUGACUCCGUGCCAACACCACCGUCUCCAGUCAAGGAAGCCGCCGCGGUGUGAAUAUGACGAUUAUGGCAAAUUGGUAAUUCCAUAAAUAAUUUAUAAUUUAAAAAAAUGUUGCCUUUGGAUGAUGGGCACGUUGUGACUGUGUUGUGGAUUCGUGAUAAAAUAAGCUUAUAUCGGACGCUGUGUUAUGUAUUUAUCAUUUUAU